rnacentral:rRNA from 1 species
AGACCGAUAGCGAACAAGUAGAGUGAUCGAAAGGUUAAAAGCACCUUGAAAAGGGAGUUAAAUAGCACGUGAAAUUGUUGAAAGGGAAGCGCUUGCAGCCAGACUCGAGCGCGGGGGCUCAGCGGGUAUUGUUAUGCCCGUGCACUCCCCCGCGCCCGGGCCAGCAUCAGUUUUGGCGGCCGGUCAAAGGCCCUUGGAAUGUAUCGUCCUCCGGGACGUCUUAUAGCCAAGGGUGCAAUGCGGCCAGCCGGGACUGAGGAACGCGCUUCGGCACGGAUGCUGGCGUAAUGGCUGUAAGCGGCCCGUCUUGAAACACGGACCAAG